UGGGGAAUAUUGGACAAUGGGCGAAAGCCUGAUCCAGCCAUGCCGCGUGUGUGAAGAAGGUCUUCGGAUUGUAAAGCACUUUAAGUUGGGAGGAAGGGCAGUAAGCGAAUACCUUGCUGUUUUGACGUUACCGACAGAAUAAGCACCGGCUAACUCUGUGCCAGCAGCCGCGGUAAUACAGAGGGUGCAAGCGUUAAUCGGAUUUACUGGGCGUAAAGCGUGCGUAGGCGGCUAAUUGAGUCGGAUGUGAAAUCCCCGAGCUUAACUUGGGAAUUGCAUUAGAUACUGGUUAGCUAGAGUGUGGGAGAGGAUGGUAGAAUUCCAGGUGUAGCGGUGAAAUGCGUAGAGAUCUGGAGGAAUACCGAUGGCGAAGGCAGCCAUCUGGCCUAACACUGACGCUGAGGUACGAAAGCAUGGGGAGCAAACAGG
rnacentral:rRNA from 1 species